CCUACGGGAGGCAGCAGUGGGGAAUUUUGGACAAUGGGGGCAACCCUGAUCCAGCAAUGCCGCGUGUGUGAAGAAGGCCUUCGGGUUGUAAAGCACUUUUGUCCGGAAAGAAAUGGCUCUGGUUAAUACCCGGGGUCGAUGACGGUACCGGAAGAAUAAGCACCGGCUAACUACGUGCCAGCAGCCGCGGUAAUACGUAGGGUGCGAGCGUUAAUCGGAAUUACUGGGCGUAAAGCGUGCGCAGGCGGUUUUGUAAGACAGGCGUGAAAUCCCCGAGCUCAACUUGGGAAUGGCGCUUGUGACUGCAAGGCUAGAGUAUGUCAGAGGGGGGUAGAAUUCCACGUGUAGCAGUGAAAUGCGUAGAGAUGUGGAGGAAUACCGAUGGCGAAGGCAGCCCCCUGGGACGUCACUGACUCUCAUGCACGAAAGCGUGGGGAGCAAACAGGAUUAGAUACCCUGGUAGUCCACGCCCUAAACGAUGUCAACUAGUUGUUGGGGAUUCAUUUCUUCAGUAACGUAGCUAACGCGUGAAGUUGACCGCCUGGGGAGUACGGUCGCAAGAUUAAAACUCAAAGGAAUUGACGG
rnacentral:rRNA from 1 species